UCACGAAAACACCGGUUCUCGUUCGAUCACCGAAGUUAAGCAUCGUAGAAGGUCAGUACUUAGAUGGGGGACCGCUUGGGAAC
rnacentral:rRNA from 1 species